UACGUAGGUGGCAAGCGUUGUCCGGAAUUAUUGGGCGUAAAGCGCGCGCAGGUGGUUCUUUAAGUCUGAUGUGAAAGCCCACGGCUCAACCGUGGAGGGUCAUUGGAAACUGGGGAACUUGAGUACAGAAGAGGAAAGUGGAAUUCCAAGUGUAGCGGUGAAAUGCGUAGAGAUUUGGAGGAACACCAGUGGCGAAGGCGACUUUCUGGUCUGUAACUGACACUGAGGCGCGAAAGCGUUGGGAGCAAACAGG
rnacentral:rRNA from 1 species